rnacentral:rRNA from 1 species
UACGAAGGGGGCUAGCGUUGCUCGGAAUCACUGGGCGUAAAGGGUGCGUAGGCGGGUCUUUAAGUCAGGGGUGAAAUCCUGGAGCUCAACUCCAGAACUGCCUUUGAUACUGAGGAUCUUGAGUUCGGGAGAGGUGAGUGGAACUGCGAGUGUAGAGGUGAAAUUCGUAGAUAUUCGCAAGAACACCAGUGGCGAAGGCGGCUCACUGGCCCGAUACUGACGCUGAGGUGCGAAAGCGUAGGGAGCGAACAGG